UGCCAGCAGCCGCGGUAAGACGGAGGGCGCAAGCGUUGUUCGGAAUUACUGGGCGUAAAGGGCGGGCAGGCGGUCUGUUAAGUCUUCUGUGAAAAUCCGGGGCUCAACCCCGUGAAAUGCAGGUGAUACUGGCAGACUAGAGACCGGUAGAGGCUAGCGGAAUUCCUGGUGUAGCGGUGGAAUGCGUAGAUAUCAGGAAGAACACCUGUGGCGAAGGCGGCUAGCUGGGCCGGAUCUGACGCUCAUCCGCGAAAGCGUGGGGAGCAAACAGGAUUAGAUA
rnacentral:rRNA from 1 species